ACGGAAAUCUGGGAACUCCUGAAGGGUUUGCCAAAAACGUUCCGUCAAGCUUUGAACGUGCCCAAGGAUGGGCAGCGCCGAUCAGUUGUAGGUGAGUAACGGCUCACCAAGCCUUGGACCGGUUCGGCCCGUGGAAGCGUUAGCCCGGAGAUGGGCACUGAGACAAGGGCCCAGGCCCUACGGGGCGCAGCAGUCGCGAAAACUUCGCAAUAAGCGAAAGCUUGACGGGGCCAUCCCGAGUGCCAUCUGCUGAGGAUGGCUUUUACCCAGUAUAGAUAGCUGGGGGAAUAAGGAGAGGGCAAGUCUGGUGUCAGCCGCCGCGGUAAUACCAGCUCUCCGAGUUGUGGGGACGUUUAUUGAGCCUGAAGCAUCCGUAGCCGGCUGGGCAAGUCCUCUGUUAAAUCCAGCGACUAAUCGUUGGCCUGCGGGGGAUACUGCUCGGCUAGGGGGCGGGAGAGGCCGUCGGUAUUCUUGGGGUAGGGGUGAAAUCCUAUAAUCCCAGGAGGACCACCAGUGGCGAAGGCUGUCGGCUAGAACGCGCCCGACGGUGAGGGAUGAAAGCUGGGGGAGCGAACCGGAUUAGAUACCCGGGUAGUCCCAGCUGUAAACGAUGCAGGCUAGGUGUUAGGGCGGCUACGUGCCGCUCUAGUGCCGCAGGGAAGCUGUUAAGCCUGCCGCCUGGGGAAACGCCGGCAAGGCUGAACUUAAAGGCCA
rnacentral:rRNA from 1 species